AAGAUGUUAUUUUGAAUAGACCAAAACCAAUUGUUUACAAGGAAGGAAAUAAUAUUUAAUAAGGGGUUAAGAUGAAUAAAAUAGGAUUUUGGGGUUUAGUUUUCAAUUAUGAGAAAUUAAUUACUAAAUAUUAUAUAAAAUAGAAAAUGAGAGACUUGAUUGCAAUUUGGAUUUAGUGGAGCACUAAGUAGUAUUAUAUGGAACUCAUUUUCAUUUCAUAUAAACAAAACCUUAAACCAUCGAUACAGAGAGCGAAAGAAGGAAAAAAGAAGAAAAGAAAAGGGAAAGAAAAAAGAAAGAAGAAGAAGGGAAAAUCUAGCCCCAUCGCCUUUCUCUACUAUCUUGGAGGUGGUGUUAGAUUUAUAGAGAGUAGAAAUGGAAAGAAAAGGAAAAGAAAAAAGAAAGAAGAAGCAAAAAGAGGCGAAAUGUCCGGUUAAAACUUGGAGGAUCCAACACAUAUCCCAUACUCAUGUCGUGUCGCGUUCAAUAUGGGUAUUCCAACCAUUUCUAAGAGUCCGAGUAUCAGAGAUCAUAAUUAAUAACAAACAUCUAGACUGUAACAAAAAUUAAAAGUCUUAAUCGAAAUUGAAUUCGAAUUUAUUUAACAAAGAAAAU
rnacentral:lncRNA from 1 species